GUGCAAUCACCCUCCCCCCCCCCCCCCCCCCCCCCACAUCAGCCCUCCAUAUCUGCCCUCUGCUCAGGUAAAGCCUCAAACCACAAAGCAGCUGCUGACACAGUAACACAGCCAGAGCGCUAACCUCCAGCAUGUGGGCCACUCUGCUGGUUGGACUCCUCCUGUGCUCCACCGGGACGGGGGCAGAGAACUCCUCUGAAACGUCGGCGGGGGAAGAGCAUGUCAUAGCCAGGGGGAAACUGAUGGCACCCAGUGUAGUCGGAUGAGCCAUCAAGAAAAUGCCUGAGCUCUACAAAUUCCUCAUGGAGCGCUGGGCCUUGUAUCAUAACUUGGAGUACGAUUCAGGAGAGGACAAAAAACCCAAAUUAAUUUUCUACAAUGAUAAAGACGAGGUUGUCAAGACAGUUCCAGUGAAGGAGAUGAAGGUAGCUGAUAUCGAAAAAUUGCUGGAUUCUCUGGGCUUCUACAAGAGGUCGGAGAAGGGAGAGGAAGUUCCUGAAGAAUUCCAGAACUUCCCUCUCAGAGCACCGCGAGAUGAAUUAUGAUGACACCUAGUGGUCAAGCUUUGCCACUGCACUGCUAACAAUGACGUUCAAGAUCCAAAGGCUUCACAACAAGCCAGUUCUUGACACCGAUGAAUCAAGCAUGCUGUAGCUGGACAUUGCUGAAUUACUCGGUAUCACUUAUGUGAUAAAUAAAUGUGUACAAAAUGUGAUUGUGUGAUGUGAU
rnacentral:lncRNA from 1 species